rnacentral:rRNA from 1 species
UACGAAGGGGGCUAGCGUUGCUCGGAAUCACUGGGCGUAAAGCGCACGUAGGCGGCUUUUUAAGUCAGGGGUGAAAUCCUGGAGCUCAACUCCAGAACUGCCUUUGGUACUGAGAAGCUUGAGUUCGGGAGAGGUGAGUGGAACUGCGAGUGUAGAGGUGAAAUUCGUAGAUAUUCGCAAGAACACCAGUGGCGAAGGCGGCUCACUGGCCCGAUACUGACGCUGAGGUGCGAAAGCGUGGGGAGCAAACAGG